rnacentral:rRNA from 1 species
UCGUAACAAGGUCUCCGUUGGUGAACCAGCGGAGGGAUCAUUAACGAGUUCCAUUCUCCUUAAUACACCCGUGAACGUUUCUUCAACUGUUCGUUGCUUCGGCGGGCGGCCCCGGGGAGGGGCCGCAGCCCGCAAGGGCGCCCGCCGGCGGCAGCGCAGCACAACUCUUGCGAUUUAGGCCCCUCUGAGAAGACACUAAAUGAGUCAAAACUUUCAACAACGGAUCUCUUGGUUCUGGCAUCGAUGAAGAACGCAGCGAAAUGCGAUAAGUAAUGUGAAUUGCAGAACUCAGCGAAUCAUCGAAUCUUUGAACGCACAUUGCGCCCGCCGGCAUUCCGGCGGGCAUGCCUGUUCGAGCGUCAUUUCAACCCUCGAGCCCUGCUCGGUGUUGGGGCCCCGCGGCCGCCGCGGGCCCUGAAAAGAAGUGGCGGGCGCGCCUGGACCCGUAGCGCAGUAAUACACCUCGCUCGCGGCGUCCCGGCGCGUGCCGGCCGUAAAACCCCUUUAUCUCAAGGUUGACCUCGGAUCAGGUAGGAAUACCCGCUGAACUUAAGCAUAUCAAUAAGCGGAGGA